rnacentral:rRNA from 1 species
CAGUAGCCGCGGGAAUACAGAGGGUGCGAGCGUUAAUCGGAUUUACUGGGCGUAAAGCGUGCGUAGGCGGCUUUUUAAAUCGGAUGUGAAAUCCCUGAGCUUAACUUAGGAAUUGCAUUCGAUACUGGGAAGCUAGAGUAUGGGAGAGGAUGGUAGAAUUCCAGGUGUAGCGGUGAAAUGCGUAGAGAUCUGGAGGAAUACCGAUGGCGAAGGCAGCCAUCUGGCCUAAUACUGACGCUGAGGUACGAAAGCAUGGGGAGCAAACAGGAUUAGAUACCCCAGUAGUCCCUGUCUCUUAUAC